rnacentral:rRNA from 1 species
UACGUAGGGUGCAAGCGUUGUCCGGAAUUAUUGGGCGUAAAGAGCUCGUAGGCGGUUUGUUGCGUCGGCUGUGAAAACCCGGGGCUCAACCCCGGGCCUGCAGCCGAUACGGGCAGACUAGAGUUCGGCAGGGGAGACUGGAAUUCCUGGUGUAGCGGUGAAAUGCGCAGAUAUCAGGAAGAACACCCGUGGCGAAGGCGGCUCUCUGGGACGGUACUGACGCUGAGACGCGAAAGCGUGGGGAGCGAACAGG